rnacentral:rRNA from 1 species
CCUACGGUGUGCAGCAGUGAGGAAUAUUGGUCAAUGGACGAGAGUCUGAACCAGCCAAGUAGCGUGAAGGAUGACUGCCCUAUGGGUGGUAAACUUCUUUUAUAAAGGAAUAAAACGAGGCACGUGUGCCUUUUUGCAUGUACUUUAUGAAUAAGGAUCGGCUAACUCCGUGCCAGCAGCCGCGGUAAUACGGAGGAUCCGAGGGUUAUCCGGAUUUAUUGGGUUUAAAGGGAGCGUAGAUGGGUUGGUAAGUCAGUUGUGAAAGUUUGCGGCUCAACCGUAAAAUUGCAAUUGAUACUGGCAGUCUUGAGUACAGUUGAUGUAGGCGGAAUUCGUGGUGUAGCGGUGAAAUGCUUAGAUAUCACGAAGAACCCCGAUUGCGAAGGCAGCUUACUAAACUGUGACUGACAUUGAUGCUCGAAAGUGUGGGUAUCAAACAGGAUUAGAUACCCGUGUAGUC